ACAACAUUGAUUUUGGCAAUAAUUUCUUUUUCCAUAGGACUCUGAAAGCAUAGGGAACAAAACCAAAAAUGGAAAAAUAGGAAUGCAUCAAACCAAAAAGCUUCUGGGCUGCCAAAGGAACAAGUAAUAGUGAGGCAACAAUCCACAGACAAGGAGAAUAUACAGGUAAAUCAGACAUCUGAAAAGGGGUUAAUAUCCAAAAUAUAUGUGGAACUCAACUCAGUAGCAAAAAAAUAACCUGAUUAAAAACUGGGCAAAGGGUUCAAUCCUCAGCACCAUACAAAAAUAAGAAAAUAAAAUAAAGGUAUCGUGUUCAUCUACUGCUAAAAAUAUUUUUAAAAAAUUGACAUUAUUUUCAGAAGAAGACGUAAUAAUCACCAACAGUUUUAUAAAAAGUGCUAAAAAUUUCUAAUCAUAAGGGAAAUGUAAAUUAAAACCACAGUGAGAUAUCACCUGACACAUGUUACAGUGGUUAUUAUAGAGACAGGAGAAAGGGCUGGGGGUGUAGCUCAGUGGUGGAGUGCUUGCUUACCUAGCAGCCUGAGGUCCUGGAUUUGAUCCUGAGUACUUUAAACAGCCAAUGCUAACAAUAAAGCAAAAGCCUGUUAAAGACAAUAAGUGUUGGUGAGGAUGUAGACAAAAGGAAACCUUUUUACACUAUUGUGGGAAUGUAAAUUAGCAUAACCAUUAUGAAAAACUGUUUUAGUCAGCUUUUUCAUGGCUGUGACCCCAAAAACCUAACAAGAACAGUUUUAGAGGAGGGGAAGUUUCUUUUGAGGUUCACAGUUUCAGAAGCUUCAGUCCACAGAUUGUCAACUCUACUGCUCAGGGCAGAGGUGUGGCAGAACAUCCUGGUGAAAGCAGCUAUGACAUCAUACCAGGAGAGAGAGAGAGAGAGAGGAGAGAGAGAGAGAGAGAGAGAGAGAGAGAGAGAGAGAGAGAGACUGAUUGACUGACUGACUUCUCCUCUUACCAAGGACAAAAUCUGUACCCCUCAAUGACCCACCUCCUUCAGUUACAUACUAUAUGCCUAUGCUACCACUCAGUGAAUCCCCCUUCAAGGGAUUAAUGCACUGAUUGGGUUAAGGCUCUCAUAGCCCAGUCAUUUCACCUCUACACUUUCUUACAUUGUCUCACACAUGAGCUUUUGGGAGACACCUAAAACUUCAACCAUAACAAACAGUAUGAAGUUUUUCUCAAAAAACUAAAAACUUGGCUAGGGUUGUGGCUCAGCAGUAGAGUGCUCGCUUAGCACAUGCGAGGCUCUGGGUUCCAUCCUCAGCACCACAUAAAAAUAAAUAAAUAGAAUAAAUGUAUUGUGUCCAAUUACAACUAAAAAAUAAAUAUUAAAAGAAAAAACAAAACUUAAAGUACCAUUGCCACAAUCUGACAUCUCACUUCUGGGUCUGUAUCCAGAGGAAUGGAAAGCUGUGUGUUGAAGAUAAAUUUGAACUCCCUUGUUCAUUGCAGCAUUAUUCACAAUAGCCAAGAUACAGAAUCAACCCCAUGGAUGAAGGGAUAAAGAAGACAUGGUACAUACGUGCAAUGGAAUAUUUCUUGACUUUAAUUUAGGAGAAGGAGAUUCUGUCAUUUGUGAAAACAAGAAUGAACCUGGAGGACAUUAUGCUUGUAAAAUAAAACUGACACAGAAAGACAAAUACCAUACGAGCUCACUAAUGUGUGGAAUCUAAAAAAAAGUCUCACUUGCAGAAGUAGAGAUUUGACUCGCGGUCACUAGAGGCUGGGGGUUGCAAUGGCAAAUGGAGAAAUGUUGAUCAAAGGGUACAAAGUUUCAGUGGGAUAGGAGGAAGGAAUUUUGAAGAUCUAUUGCACAACAUUGUGAGCAUGGUUAAUAAUAAUUUAGUGUGUAUUUAAGAAUUGCUAAAUGAGUGGAUUUUAAAUGUUCUCACUACAAAAAAAUAAAUAUGUGAGGUGAUGUAUAUGUUAAUUAGUGUGAUGAAACUAUCUACAAUGUAUACCUAUAUCAGAAUAAUGUGUUAUAUAUCCCCAAAUACAUAAUUGUUAUUUGCCAAUUAAAUAUGA
rnacentral:lncRNA from 1 species